rnacentral:rRNA from 1 species
GGUUAAGUCCCGCAACGAGCGCAACCCCUACGUUUAGUUGCUAACGCGUGAAGGCGAGCACUCUAGACGAACUGCCGUUGACAAAACGGAGGAAGGUGGGGAUGACGUCAAAUCAUCAUGCCCCUUAUGUUCUGGGCUACACACGUGCUACAAUGGCCGGUACAGACGGACGCAAAGCCGCGAGGUGGAGCAAAUCCUAAAAAGCCGGUCUCAGUUCGGAUUGCAGGCUGCAAUUCGCCUGCAUGAAGUCGGAAUCGCUAGUAAUCGCAGGUCAGCAUACUGCGGUGAAUACGUUCCCGGGCCUU